CUUUCCCCUGUCUAGGCGCGAAUUUCUUUCCCCUUGAAAGCUGUCCUGUAUCUCCUGCUGUCAGGUUCCCAAAGCGCUCCGUUUUCAUUUUUUUCUAUCUGAUGUUGUUGUGACGUGGAACAGGGUCUAACUCCUUGGGGACCUCAUAUUGUUUUGGAGACAAGUGAUGUCAACCGUAAAUCCUUGACAUUGCGUUGACAUCAAAAGCGGUGCAAAUCUUUUGUGUGAGUAGAUCCCAUGCAAAGUCAAUGCACAGACGGGAUUUUUUUCGCCGGGCAGCGCGAA